rnacentral:rRNA from 1 species
AUACGGAGGAUGCAAGCGUUAUCCGGAUUUAUUGGGUUUAAAGGGUGCGUAGGCGGUUUGCUAAGCGGGAGGUGAAAUGCCGGCGCUCAACGUCGGAAGUGCCUCCCGAACUGGUGGACUGGAAUGACUCUGCCGUGGGAGGAAUGUGUAGUGUAGCGGUGAAAUGCUUAGAGAUUACACAGAACACCGAUUGCGAAGGCAUCUCACGAAGGGUUGAUUGACGCUGAGGCACGAAAGCGUGGGGAUCAAACAGGAUUAGAUACCCUGGUAGUCCACGCAGUAAACGAUGAUGGUUAACCGCUUGUUUAUUCGGAUCAGUGGCCAAGCGAAAGCGAUAAGCCAUCCACCUGGGGAGUACGACCGCAAGGUUGAAACUUAAAUGAAUUGACGGGG